AUGUAUUAACAUUUCUGAGCACAAAUGCAAAAUACAUUAUAUUUUCAUUUGAAACUUAUGUCAAAAUGAUUUUAAAAAACCUUUACUAAUUGCUGGCAAGCCGUGCAUACAAACCGCCUAAUAAAUAUGCUUUAAGAGAGUUCUUGGAAGUAAAAAGGUGAGGGGUAAUUGCACCGUCAAGUAGCUGUUACUCACAACUUCUGAAUUAAUACUGCCUGAGCUGUUGAGCCAACUAAAGAAAAUGAAGAAUCCUUCUGCCAUUACCACCAAACGCACCAGACGUCGGGCAGGACUACAAAGCAGUGCAACAUGUUUGAAAGCUGACAGGGUAACCCUUACUGGAGCUGGCGAUGCAACCUUUGAGUUGAGUUGAGUCGUAAAGAGGAAAGCAGGUGGCAAACGGUUGAGGUAAGGUGUCAGUUGCAAUGGCACGGCCAAACCCUGGUAAUUAACAAUGGCAUACUAACCCCUUGCUUGUGCUAUAUCGAAAUGAUUGCCGCAGUGAGCCGCAUAUGUGUAUCGAUUACACUAAAUAAAGAAGCAUAACAAACAUAAAA